rnacentral:misc_RNA from 1 species
AAAGUAUUUACAAUUGGUAUCUUCACGAGGUUGAAAAUGGCUUAGGUGCUAUGAUACCCGAGUUUUCUGGUCUUCUUCAAUAUCGUAUUGCCAAAGAUGCAAUUGGUAAAUUCAUAUCUUUCAAAUGUACCCCAGUUCGUGAUGAUGGGACAGUGGGCGAGCCAAAAACUUGUAUAGGACAGGAGCGUAUUCGCCCAGGAACUCCAAGAUUGCUUUCUCUACGAAUAGCCGGAACUGCAGUUGAAGGCACCACAUUAAGAAUUGAGAAGAAAUAUUGGGGUGGUGAAGAGGGAAAUUCAAUUUACCGCUGGUUCCGGACUAGUUCAAGUGGAACAAACAUAGAAGUCAAUGAUGAGAUGACAUCCUCAUACAAGCUGUCUAUUCAUGAUAUAGGAUAUUUUAUAUCUGUAUCCUGUGAACCUGUUCGAAAUGAUUGGGCUCGUGGUCCUAUAGUUAUCUCGGAACAAGUUGGACCUAUCGUUCCAGGGCCACCGACUUGCCAUUCACUUGAAUUUCAAGGAUCUUUGGUUGAAGGAGAACGUGUGAGCUUUGUUGCUUCUUAUAGUGGAGGGGAGAAGGGAG